rnacentral:rRNA from 1 species
AUUGAACGCUGGCGGCAGGCCUAACACAUGCAAGUCGAACGAGCGGCGGACGGGUGAGUAAUGUAUGGGAAACUGCCUGAUGGAGGGGGAUAACUACUGGAAACGGUAGCUAAUACCGCAUACCAUCGGAUGUGCCCAGAUGGGAUUAGCUAGUAGGUGGGGUAAAGGCUCAACUAGGCGACGAUACCUAGCUGGUCUGAGAGGAUGACCAGCCACACUUGAACUGCGACACGGUCCAGACGCCGACGGGAGGCAGCAGUGGGGAAUAUUGCACAAGGGCCGAAAGCCUGAUGCAGCCAUGCCGGGUGUAUGAAGAGGGCUUUCGGGUUGUAAAGUACUUUCAGCGGGGAGGCGUUACCCGCAGAAGAAGCACCGGCUAACUCCGUGCCAGCAGCCGCGGUAAUAC